rnacentral:rRNA from 1 species
AGAAGCUGACAUGUAGGCCGCUCACGACUACGGGUCCAUCGAAUCAGUGACGGAACCGGCCCACGCCCACAGGCUCCGUUAAAAACUGACCAAACCCUCUCCCCACAAUCCUUCGAACAAUCUCCUCCGAGCUCGCAAAUCCGCCGCCGCCGCCAUGGGCGACUACGGGAACGCGAUGAUGAGGAACCAGGAUGCGGGCGUGCAGUCUCGCGUGAAGGCGCAGAGCCGUGCCAACCUCCUCCAGCUCAAGCUCAUCGGGCAGAGCCAUCCGACGGGGCUGACGACGAACCUGCUGAAGCUGUUCGAGCCACGCCCCCCGCUCGAGCACAAGCCGCCGCUCGAGAAGCGCAAGUUGCCGGCUUACUCUGGGAUGUCGCAGUUUGUAUCGCGGUUCGCAGAGCCUGGUGACCCCGAGUAUGCUCCGCCCGUCCCCACGUGCGAGACUAGGGCUGAAAAGAAGGAUAGAAUUCGUCAACUUAAGCUUGAGGAAGGUGCAGCUAAGGUUGCUGAAGAGCUCCAGAAGUACGACCCACAAAAUGACCCCAAUGUCACUGGAGAUCCAUACAAAACACUCUUUGUUGCACGACUUGGCUACGAGACAUCCGAGCAGAAGGUUAAAAGGGACUUUGAAGCUUAUGGGCCUAUUAAAAGGGUACGGCUCAUAACUGACAAGGUAACAAAUAAACCUAGAGGAUAUGCAUUCGUAGAGUAUGCACACACUCGGGACAUGAAAAGUGCUUAUAAGCAAGCUGAUGGGAGAAAAGUGGAUAACAAAAGGGUGCUUGUUGAUGUAGAGCGUGGUAGAACUGUUCCAAAUUGGCGUCCUAGGAGAUUGGGUGGUGGACUUGGAUCAAGCAGGAUUGGUGGUGAAGAUGCUGCCCAGAAGCAUUCUGCUAGAGAGCAACAGAAUGCUGCUGGACGACCCAGAUCAGAAGAGCCUAGGAGGGAUGAUCGUCCUGCAGAUCGGGAUCGUGAGAAAUCUCGUGAUAGGGUACGGGAAAGAGAUCGUGACGAAAAAACUCGUGAACGCUCGCAUGACAGGACCCGUGAUCGUGAUCCAAGGGAAGAUAGACACCACCAUAGAGAUCGUGAGAGAACUCGUGAUAGGGACCGAGAACGGGACCAGGAGAGAGACCGUGGGCGUGACCGGCGUGAUAGGGAUAGGCACAAGGAUCAUGGCCGGGAUAGAGACCAGGAUAGAGACAGGAAACGUGAGCGCUCUCAUGGCAGGGGCAGAGACCGUGACAGAGAUUACGAGCGUGCAAGUCAUGAACAGGACCCUGGCAGGGACCGAGAUUACAAGCGUGCGCGCCAUGAACAUGAUCGUGGUCACUUGCAGGAGAGUGAUGCUGAUUAUGGCAAUGGUGAGCUUGGCUAUAACCAGCAUGAGCACCACAGAAGUCACGAACAGUAUGGUUAUGGCCUAGAUGGACAUGAGCGCUCAAAGCGACAUGAGCAUUACCGGGAUGAUCCACACAGUAAAAUGGCAACCAACCAUCAGGGGCAACCUGAAAAUGCAGAACCUGCAGUCCCCGAGGAAGGGGAGGCAUAUGAAGAAGGGGACUACCAGCAUAUCCAAGCGAGUGAAUACAGGAACUAAAACUUGAUAGCUGUGGUAAGGCUUUGUUAACACAGUAAUAUUCGCAUCAUUUCAGCUGUUCCCAGUGGUUCUCUCGCCUUUUUCUUGUCGGCACUUCCAGUCUUAUCCCACUUAUUUUGUGUGUGUUUGUUUGUUGUAUGCUAUUUGUAAUAAUUUGCUGGAUAAUGCUUGUGGUUUGUGUUCACUUGUUAGUGAUGUUCUAUGUAAUUUUGAAGCCAAUGGCCAAUCAAUGUGAACUUGUUACUUGCCUAAUGCGGCUUGAGUUUAUGCUUUUUUGUUGGUUUCGACAGUUCCUGUAGAUGCAAGCGUAACAUGGGCGUGGUUGCUGGUUAUAAAGUGGACUGUGGAUCAAGUUACUCAUUUCUUUUACUUUGUUUCUUGUUUCCUUGUAAAUGAUUUUGUUGAUCAUCUGAGGAAUGUAGUUUUUGCUGUUGAAAAAAAGCUUAGGGGCUUUUACUAUACUAAAUGUUCUUUUUUUUGCUGUUGCGUCUUUGCAGUUUGCUUCUGUCAACAUUGUAAACUGAGAAGUCAGAGGCCUUGAAAUGGCAAACGGAGCUUAGAGCAUCUGUAACUCCUUUUGAAUCGGAUAUUGGAUAGGCUAAGCAGUGUAGCCCGAUUUCUCUAUGGUUUUGCUGAACUUGCCUUUUGGGCCCUUUAGGGGGAACUGGUCAAGCCUUUGGGCCUUUGUGGUUCUUUUUGAAGAAAAUGGUAGUAGGUGUAGCCUGAUUUCUCUAUGGUUUUGCUGAACUUCAAGCCUUUGGGGCCAGUUAGGGAAUUUUGAUGGAUGGUGGCACUAAGAUGUAUAAGAAAGUGUACAUCUCCAACACAGCCCGAAAAUUGGUGCCCCAAAAUGCGCUGUUUUGACACAAAUAACCGUUUUCUCGUUGUCCUAUGUGAUCUU